UACUGCACUACCCAAAGGAAAAAACACAGGGUCACAGAGGUGUUUAACCCCAUUUAAAGCUGUGUUAUGCAACUGAGGCUUAAAACAAGACUGGAACAUUUUCUCAGUGAUAAUCUAUCAUUUUGUUCACCUAGGGGACAUUGAGGCUUGAAGAAGGACAAGGAGGAUGGAGUAGCAAGAAGGAGGGAUCCUGGGGACUUGACCAAGCAGAGAAAUAGCAGUUUCAAAAUUGAAGAUAAUAAGUGGAGUAUUUAGAUGAAGAACUGAGAAACUGAAUGAGGAAUUGAAUAAUCAUGGGAGGAUCUUCUAAUAGCAGCAGUAGAAUAAGGUCUCUGGCUUCUUUUACUACAUGACUAAUAUGGAAAUAUGUUUUGCGUUAUUGAACAUGUUUAAUCCAUAGCAAAUUGAUCAUCAUCUCAGGAAGAGGGAAACUAAGAAAGGGAGGGAGAAAAUCUGGAACUCAAAAAAAUUUUAAGUGAAUGUUACAAAUUGUCUUUACUUGUAAUUGGGGAAAAAAUGAAAUAUUAUUUAAAAAUAAAAAACAAAAUG